AGUGAACGCUGGCGGUAGGCCUAACACAUGCAAGUCGAACGGCAGCACAGUAAGAGCUUGCUCUUACGGGUGGCGAGUGGCGGACGGGAGGGGUAUACAGCCAACUCCAUUUUCGCGGGGGGGAACGCGGGGGAACUUAUGCUAUUACAGCAUACACCAUCCGGGUGAAAGAAGGGGAUCUUCGGACAUCUCGCGCUUGUGUGAGCCGAUGUCGGAUUAGCUAGUUGGCGGGGUAAAGGCACACCAAGGCGACGAUCCGUAGCUGGUCUGAGAGGAUGAUCAGCCACACUGGAACUGAGACACGGUCCAGACUCCUACGGGAGGCAGCAGUGGGGAAUAUUGGACAAUGGGCGCAAGCCUGAUCCAGCCAUACCGCGUGGGUGAAGAAGGCCUUCGGGUUGUAAAGCCCUUUUGUUGGGAAAGAAAAGCAGCAGGUUAAUACCCCGCUGUUCUGACGGUACCCAAAGAAUAAGCACCGGCUAACUUCGUG
rnacentral:rRNA from 1 species